ACUGCGCACAUCUCCUCGUCUGAGUUCUGCGGAACUCAUUUUGAGUAGAGGGAUUUUUAAGCCCGGUAGGAUUUAAGAACCGUGUCACUUCCGGUAACACCGGAAGCAAUUUGAAGAUGGCGUCCUCCUCACUGAAGGGGCCAGCCACGGCGGCUGGGAAAAGUGAGUCUCGAACCCAGAAGCCGAAGCCGGAGAACCGAGAUGAAUCAGAACUCCUCACUGUUCCUGAGGGUUGGAAGGAACCAGCUUUUUCCAAAGAGGACAAUCCCAGAGGACUCUUGGAGGAAAGCAGUUUUGCAACUUUGUUCCCAAAAUAUAGAGAGGCUUACUUGAAAGAGUGCUGGCCUUUGGUACAGAAAGCCUUGAAUGAGCAUCACGUUAAUGCAACCCUGGACCUGAUUGAGGGCAGCAUGACUGUUUGUACAACAAAGAAGACCUUUGAUCCGUAUAUCAUCAUUAGGGCCAGAGACCUCAUAAAACUAUUAGCAAGGAGUGUUUCAUUUGAACAGGCAGUACGGAUUCUUCAGGAUGAUGUUGCAUGUGACAUCAUUAAAAUAGGUUCUUUAGUAAGAAAUAAAGAAAGAUUUGUUAAAAGAAGACAACGGCUCAUUGGUCCCAAAGGAUCUACACUGAAGGCAUUGGAACUCUUAACAAACUGUUACAUUAUGGUUCAGGGAAACACAGUUUCAGCCAUUGGACCUUUUAGUGGCUUAAAAGAGGUUCGAAAAGUAGUCCUAGAUACUAUGAAGAAUAUUCAUCCUAUUUAUAACAUUAAAACCUUAAUGAUUAAACGAGAGUUGGCAAAAGAUUCUGAAUUAAGAUCACAAAGUUGGGAAAGAUUUUUGCCACAGUUCAAGCACAAAAAUGUGAAUAAACGCAAGGAACCAAAGAAAAAAACUGUUAAGAAAGAGUAUACACCAUUCCCACCACCACAGCCAGAAAGUCAGAUUGAUAAAGAAUUGGCUAGUGGUGAAUACUUUCUGAAGGCAAGUCAAAAGAAGCGACAGAAAAUGGAAGCAGUGAAGGCUAAACAAGCAGAAGCGCUCACUAAGAGACAAGAGGAAAGAAACAAAGCUUUUAUUCCACCUAAAGAAAAACCAGUUGUGAAACUGAAGGAAGCAUCUACUGAAACUAAAGUUGAUGUGGCUGCCAUCAAGGAAAAAGUCAAGAAAGCAAAGAAUAAGAAGCUGGGCGCUCUUACAGCUGAAGAAGUUAAGCUUAAAAUGGAAGCAGAUGAAAAGAAAAAGAAGAAAAAAAAGUAACAUACAGAAAAAAAUUGAGCUAAAAUUUACUAAACUUUCUCCUUUUGUAAAGGAUUUUGAGAUACUAGGGCAUUAGUUGCCUUAUCUGUGAGGAGUAGACUCUGAUCACUUUUUGUCUGAGCUUUGCUUUUUAUAACAGUGUUUAUAUAAACAGCUGUUCUUUAUAAAUAUAAAUUAUUCUCCAUGUGUUUUUUGAAAAAUUUUGUACUAUAAAGUGGUAUGUAUGCCUUUGUAUACAUUGCACCUAAUCUGUUCCAGGCAGGUUUUGCCUAAGCAUGAUUUUAGGAGUAAUCCUUUAGGUUGUUUAUAUUAUAUAAAGAUUUUUGGAAUGUGGCUAUUAUAAUUAUCCAUCAGAUCCAGUGUGUGAUGCCAUUGGUUAAUCUUUAAAUCAUAUCCCAGCAUUUGGUUUUGAGGAAAAUAAAUGCAGAUUUUUCAGUACUCUCUCUAAUGAUAACAAACAUUUAGGCUUAUUCCCUUUUAUAAUCUCAUUUUACAUUUCAUUCCAAGACGAAACAACCCAUAAGCAAAGAAAGCAAGGCCUCUUAGAUCAAAUCCUUCAUUCCUGUUGUAUUCUGAGUCUGGGAAAGUGGUAAACCAGAAGCACAUCAAAUUGCAGGAGAGCAGGGAAGACCAGGUAUUCAGACUUGAAGCAGCAUGAACAAGCGAGGUAGAAACGUUUUUACUCCUGAGGGCCGGGGGGUUAUCUGGAAUCACCUACAUCUAGCUUGCUCAUCUUACAUACUGAGAAGCUGAGGCGGACAGGCUGGCUACUUAUCAGCUGUGGCAGCCUGAAAACUGCUCAUUCAUAGAAAAGUGGAAAGUAAAGAUGAGUUUAUCCUAUAGAGUUGGGAAGUUGAACAGUUGCUUCUUCUAAGAGUUUAUUGCAACAACAUUUU